rnacentral:rRNA from 1 species
UACGUAGGGUGCGAGCGUUAAUCGGAAUUACUGGGCGUAAAGCGUGCGCAGGCGGCUUUGCAAGACAGAUGUGAAAUCCCCGGGCUCAACCUGGGAACUGCAUUUGUGACUGCAUCGCUGGAGUGCGGCAGAGGGGGAUGGAAUUCCGCGUGUAGCAGUGAAAUGCGUAGAUAUGCGGAGGAACACCGAUGGCGAAGGCAAUCCCCUGGGCCUGCACUGACGCUCAUGCACGAAAGCGUGGGGAGCAAACGGG